rnacentral:rRNA from 1 species
AAAGAUUAAGCCAUGCAUGUCUAAGUAUAAACAAAUUUAUACAGUGAAACUGCGAAUGGCUCAUUAAAUCAGUUAUAAUUUAUUUGAUAUUCACUUACUACUUGGAUAACCGUGGUAAUUCUAGAGCUAAUACAUGCGUACAUAACCUCGACUUCUGGAAGAGGUGCACUUAUUAGAUAAAAAGCCAACGCGGGCAACCGCUUGUAUGGUGAUUCAUAAUAAUUAAUCGAAUCGCAUGGCCUUGUGCCGGCGAUGAUGCAUUCAAAUUUCUGCCCUAUCAAGUUUCGAUGGUAGGUUAGUGGCCUACCAUGCUUU